rnacentral:rRNA from 1 species
UUGAACGCUGGCGGCAUGCUUUACACAUGCAAGUCGAACGGCAGCGCGGGCUUCGGCCUGGCGGCGAGUGGCGAACGGGUGAGUAAUGCAUCGGAACGUGCCCAGUAGUGGGGGAUAGCCCGGCGAAAGCCGGAUUAAUACCGCAUACGACCUGAGGGUGAAAGCGGGGGACCGAAAGGCCUCGCGCUAUUGGAGCGGCCGAUGUCGGAUUAGCUAGUUGGUGGGGUAAAGGCUUACCAAGGCGACGAUCCGUAGCUGGUCUGAGAGGACGACCAGCCACACGGGGAGUGAGACACGGCCCAGAGUCCUACGGGAGGCAGCAGUGGGGAAUUUUGGACAAUGGGGGCAACCCUGAUCCAGCCAUGCCGCGUGCGGGAAGAAGGCCUUCGGGUUGUAAACCGCUUUUGUUCGGGAAGAAAUCCUCUGGGCUAAUACCCCGGGGGGAUGACGGUACCGGAAGAAUAAGCACCGGCUAACUACGUG